CACCAAGGAAGGGGAAGAACACAUGCAAACUCAUAAACCCUCACCACAAAUUCAAAUUCACAUAACUUUUGAUCCAGAGCUCCGAUCGCCACACUGUUUGCGGCCACGUGACUGCAAUGAUGAGCUCUACAAUGCCCAGUACCAUUCAAGAAUCAAAUUGAGUUGAGGAAUGAGUGGGCUUUGGUUUGAUUGAGACACAUACAAGGUGUAUACGUGUAUAUGUUGGAGGCUUGGUGGUGAUUGGAGCUAAGAUUUUAGUGGGUUUCUCUAAACUUGAGGGGCUGUGUGGUGACUUGGGGGGCUGCCUUGGACUAAAUAUCGUAAUCGGCC